rnacentral:rRNA from 1 species
AGAGUUUGAUUCUGGCUCAGGAUGAACGCUGGCGGCGUGCCUAAUACAUGCAAGUUGAACGGGAUGGAUUAUCCAUUCAGUAGCGAACGGGUGAGUAAUACAUAGGCAACCUACCUUUAUGAGGGGGGAUAACCGAGGGAAACUUUGGCUAAUACCGCAUAUAGAGCACUUGGGAUCAAGUGAAGAAGAAAGACGGAGCAAUCCGUCGCAUAGAGAUGGGCUUAUGGCGCAUUAGCUAGUUGGCGGGUAACGGCCCACCAAGGUGAUGAUGCGUAGCCGACCUGAGAGGGUGAUCGGCCACAUUGGGACUGAGACACGGCCCAAACUCCUACGGGAGGCAGCAGUAGGGAAUUUUCGGCAAUGGGGGGAACCCUGACCGAGCAACGCCGCGUGAAGGGAAUGAAGGCCUUCGGGUUGUAAACUUCUGUUACGGAGAAAGAACAUACUGGAUAGGAAAUGAUCGAGUAAUGACGGUACUUCGUGAGAAAGCCACGGCUAACUACGUGCCAGCAGCCGC